CCCCCUUAUUCUGCGGUGUCAGAAUAACAUGAAACUAGUUUCUCAUAUCUCUGAGGAUGGUUCUGAAAUAGAAUUCAAACACUGCAUGUCCUCUAAGACAAGUCGCCACAAAAAUAUUUCUCCGCUACCAAUCCCUGUUGACUUGACAGCUCAAUGGGAAGAGCGGCGGUCUGCUUGAGGCAGUGUCAGAAUAAUAUGAAACUAGUUUUCAUAUCUCUG